UCUAGAGUCACGAGUAGAUGCUCGCAUCGAAAGUUCUCUAAGUCGCACCGUCCGAAUUCCCCAAGACUUCGAUUUAUCGCGCGAUCCGCAGCGCUGUUUCAGCGCCUGCGUAACGUGUGCGGAUGUAGGAUCCGCCAGGCUGCGCCAGCGAUUCCACAACGUCGGACUCGCGGUUGACAGCAGACGCGGAUUUUUUAUUCUUCAAAGCUCGACGCGAGACGCGUCGUUUGAGUUGAUUGACAAUAUGGGUGUGGGAAGCUGAGCAAGAUCAGCGAGCGCUGUUAGGUGUUGUGUGUUGACCGAGGUGGGCUGGAUUCUAUGAAUUGGGAUCUGGUCAAGCGCGGUAAGGGCGCACGGAGGAUGCCUAGGCGCGGACAGGCGAUGAAGGACGUGGCAAGCUGCGAAAAGUCAGGGGGAGCCGCACGCAGGCUGUGAGCCCUGAAUGU
rnacentral:misc_RNA from 1 species